UACAGAGGUGGCAAGCGUUGCUCGGAAUCACUGGGCGUAAAGGGUGCGUAGGCGGGUCUUUAAGUCAGGGGUGAAAUCCUGGAGCUCAACUCCAGAACUGCCUUUGAUACUGAAGAUCUUGAGUUCGGGAGAGGUGAGUGGAACUGCGAGUGUAGAGGUGAAAUUCGUAGAUAUUCGCAAGAACACCAGUGGCGAAGGCGGCUCACUGGCCCGAUACCUGACGCUGAGGCACGAAAGCGUGGGGAGCGAACGAGG
rnacentral:rRNA from 1 species